rnacentral:tRNA from 1 species
GGGCUCGUGGUCUAGUAGCAUGAUACCCCGUUCGCAACGGGGAGGUCGCGGGUGCGAUUCCCGCCGAGUCCA